AUUGAACGCUGGCGGCAUGCCUUACACAUGCAAGUCGAACGGCAGCACGGGUGCUUGCCCCUGGUGGCGAGUGGCGAACGGGUGAGUAAUACAUCGGAACAUGUCCUGUAGUGGGGGAUAGCCCGGCGAAGGCCGGAUUAAUACCGCAUACGAUCUACGGAUGAAAGCGGGGGACCUUCGGGCCUCGCGCUAUAGGGUUGGCCGAUGGCUGAUUAGCUAGUUGGUGGGGUAAAGGCCUACCAAGGCGACGAUCAGUAGCUGGUCUGAGAGGACGACCAGCCACACUGGGACUGAGACACGGCCCAGACUCCUACGGGAGGCAGCAGUGGGGAAUUUUGGACAAUGGGCGAAAGCCUGAUCCAGCAAUGCCGCGUGUGUGAAGAAGGCCUUCGGGUUGUAAAGCACUUUUGUCCGGAAAGAAAUCCUUGGCCCUAAUACGGUCGGGGGAUGACGGUACCGGAAGAAUAAGCACCGGCUAACUACGUG
rnacentral:rRNA from 1 species